CUAUGCUACUGAAGACUCUUACCGUACACACAUGUACACACCAAUUUAUUACACAAUGAAAUGAUAACUUUUUCCCCUUUUGUGUUCUCCCUUUUAGGGUUUUCUCAAAUUCAUAUCGCCGCAUGGAUCUGCAAUUUUAUAGAUCUAACAGAUGCUUGUUGAGCAGAAGAGCUGAGAAAAAUGCAGUGUAUGUGCUUCAAUUCCAAAAUGAAGGCAAAGAUUAUGUUAAUUUCAGCUCAACUGUUGGAAUUGGAGCUAAAGGUGAAGAGGUAAUGGAAUCUUCGAGAGAUAGAGUUUUAGUACUAUCGAGAUAUGUGGUAUGGAGGGAGUAGGAAAGAAAAGCGAGGAAGGUUGUUCGAUGAUGUUGUUGUGUUAACAGUUACAUAGGAAAAUAAGUUUGGAUUCUUUUUGGACAGAAAACUGAUAAUUUGAUUGAUCAUCAUUUUUUUCCUCGCAUAGCAAAAGAUAUUUCAGAGUAAUGCAACGGUUUGGUCGAUUGCAUGAGCACUGAAUUCAUCACAAAUUUCAUAAGCGGGAAGAUAUGAUUUUUUGGAAGGUGGAGAAGCCAGGAUAAUGGAUCUCUAGGUCAUUGAGACCACCUCAUUUGGGUGAUUGGAUCUGUCGCGUGUUGAGAAACAAUGAACGUGUACUUCUUAGAGGAAAUGGCUCAAAAAAUAUGCCACUUGAGUUGCUAUUGGAUGGAUUUCAGGACUCGAAAGAUCUCCACCUAGAUGGUUGUGAUUAUCGAACACAUUUGUUGAAGAUCCACCGUCAACAGAACAUUAUGUUCCCCAAGCUCAAUGAUUACAUGUAAAUCGUUGUGAUAGUCUACAAUAUCUUUACUUGCCUGUCUGAGGAGUUCGUUGAAACUUGAAGACUUGAGAGUAGCUUGCCUUGAUAACAAGGAAGAGCAUUUUGAAUUAGCUCUUUACUUCAUGUUAUCUUUGAUAUAGGAUGAGAUAAUGUUCUGUUUUCUCUAUUUGUCCGAGCCUGGAACAGAUAGAUCUCGUUGUGGCUGAAAGCAUAACAACUUUAUGCUCUCACCAACUUCCGAUAGGCUACAUCAACAAACUUGAAAUAUUGGAAGUACUCGAGUGUGGCAAACUGAGGAACUACAAAAAUGAAGCUUUCCAUUGAUGGAAGAAGUGAUCACGGAAGAGAACAACUAGGAGAAGAAAUUACUAACGGGUCCUUAUAUAACCAAUCUCUUCUUCCAGGAACAAAAAGAAGUUAGUGAUGAUGACGAAUUUGAAGCUGGUGAAAACUAGAAACGUAACUGAUGUCUAUUCCUCCCAUGGUAGCUAGUCUCAGAUGUUCUUUGAGAACACGAAACAUAUGAUCGUUUUUCAAGGUAUAUAUACUAAUAAUAUACAUAAUUUGCUCCGCCUUUGUAAUAAUAUAUACCGAGAAUAACGCAAGUAUCCUUUCAUUUUCUCAUGUAAAUUUGAAUUCCUUUGGUAAUAAUGUGUUCAAUAUUUGUAUGCGUUUUAUGUAAAGAUUUAAAAAAAAGUAAUUAAUAACUAUUGAAGAUA